rnacentral:rRNA from 1 species
CCUUUAAAGUAGUCAUAUGCUUGUCUCAAAGAUUAAGCCAUGCAUGUCUAAGUAUACGCAAAUUAUACUGUGAAACUCUGAAUGGCUCAUUAAAUCAGUUAUAGUUUAUUUGAUGUUUCUUGCUACAUGGAUAACUGUGGUAAUUCUAGAGCUAAUACAUGCGUAAAAAGCCCCGACUUCUGGAAGGGGUGUAUUUAUUAGAUAAAAACCAUCCUCCUCGGAGUUUGGUGAUUCAUAAUAACUUCUCGAAUCGCACGGCCUUGUGCUGGCGAUGCUUCAUUCAAAUAUCUGCCCUAUCAACUGUCGAUGGUAGGAUAGAGGCCUACCAUGGUUGCAACGGGUAACGGGGAAUAAGGGUUCGAUUCCGGAGAGGGAGCCUGAGAAACGGCUACCACAUCCAAGGAAGGCAGCAGGCGCGCAAAUUACCCAAUCCCGACACGGGGAGGUAGUGACGAAUAAUAACGAUACGUGACUUCGGUCUAGUAAUUGGAAUGAGUACAAUUUAAACCCCUUAAUGAAUUCCAUU